GUGAAUCAUCGAAUUUUUGAACGCAUAUUGCACUCUCUGGUAUUCCGGAGAGUAUGCCUGUUUGAGGGUCGUUAAAAAGCACCUUUACCACUUUUUUUUGUCAAAGGCAAUGAGUUCUCCGCGUUUAUAGCGGUAGCUUGAAAUAAAUGGUCAAGUAUCGUUUUAGUCGUGACGCGUAAUAAUAUUAUUUCGCGAAAUCUUCACUAUGUGACUAUCAAGUUUUGACGCAUACAAAUUUGAUUUGUUUGCGAUCAAUACACAUAUUUUGAACAUUACCUCAAAUCAUGUAGGAGUACCCGAU
rnacentral:misc_RNA from 1 species